rfam:Salmo salar isolate Sally breed double haploid chromosome ssa05, whole genome shotgun sequence.
UGCAUUCACUACUGUAAGUCGCUCUGGAUAAGAACAUCUGCUAAAUGACGUAAA